UAAUUGAAUUAACAAAAAGGAGCUAUGCGUCAACAUAGCUCCAAUGUAGAACCGUUAAAAAGACGGUGACAGUAAUAAAUAGUUUUUCUUU
rnacentral:sRNA from 1 species